CGGAGUAUAGCGCAGUCAGGUAGCGUACCUACUUUGGGAGUAGGGUGUCGGGGGUUCAAAUCCCUCUACUCCGA
rnacentral:tRNA from 1 species